rnacentral:rRNA from 1 species
GUGAGGAAUUUUCCGCAAUGGGCGAAAGCCUGACGGAGCAAUGCCGCGUGAAGGAUGAAGGCCUAUGGGUUGUAAACUUCUUUUCUCAGAAAAGAAUUAUGACGGUAUCUGAGGAAUAAGCAUCGGCUAACUCUGUGCCAGCAGCCGCGGUAAGACAGAGGAUGCAAGCGUUAUCCGGAAUGAUUGGGCGUAAAGCGUCUGUAGGUUGUUUAAAAAAUAUUCUGUCAAAGAUUAGGGCUUAACCCUAGAUAGGCAGAAUAACCGUUAAAGGUAGAGUUUGGUAGAGGCAGAGGGAAUUCCCGGGGGAGCGGUGAAAUGCGUAGAUGUCGGGAGGAACACCAAAGGCGAAGGCACUCUGCUGGGCCAAUACUACCACUGAGAGACGAAAGCGAGGGGAGCAAAUGGGAUUAGAUACCCUAGUAGUCC